CUUUAACUGAAGGGCACUGACUGGGUCACUGGUGAAGUUCCCCGCAGGAACUGAGUCAGACCCCAUCUCAGGGCCCUGCACAAGAUAGGUGCCUGCUCUAAGGCGUGGACCCUCGCCACAGCCCUGGCCCGUCUUGACGGGCGAGGGUUACUGUACUUGUCCCAACCGUACAGAUGAGAAAGCUGAGACUCAGGGCGAGCAACCCGGGUCCCAGCGGAGCGCCCGGCACACGCCGACACUUCAGCACCAGUCGCGGUGGCCACCACUGUGCGCGGAGAUGGCUGCGACGCGUGCGCAGAUCUCGAUCCCAAACUCCCUCCUGCCAGAAUCUGGACCCGAAUCCACCCAUUGCCCGUUUUCUGCUGCCGCUGGAGAGAAUCUCUGAGGUCCCCAGGAGAGCCUGCCUGCACGGAAGAGAUGCCUCCUCAGUAUGGCCGCCCCCGGAGAGGAGCGAUUAAGUGCAGACCUCCAUGUUGCUCUUGAGCCUGAGCGGCUUCAGGGAGCCAUGUUUGUUACUGGCGGGCGCCGACCUCACUGAGCAUGUGCAGCCCUGGCCGGGCGGCCUCAAAGUUCUGACAUCACAGGGCGGUUCCUGAAGUGGACGUAGUUGUAAGAGCUAGUUAUUUUAGACAAUGCCUCUGGGAUCAGGGACUCUAAUCUGGAAAUAGGUAGUAGGAGAGGUCGGUGAUGCAGUCUCUGGAUCAGAGACCUGAGCUAUAUGGGGUUAGAGAGGGGCCCUGGGCAGGCGAGUCUCUGGGGAGUGUGGUGAGAAUCCUUGUGUA
rnacentral:lncRNA from 1 species